UGGGGAAUAUUGCACAAUGGGCGCAAGCCUGAUGCAGCAACGCCGCGUGAGGGACGACGGCCUUCGGGUUGUAAACCUCUUUUAGUAGGGAAGAAGCGAAAGUGACGGUACCUGCAGAAAAAGCACCGGCUAACUACGCGCCAGCAGCCGCGGUAAUACGUAGGGUGCGAGCGUUGUCCGGAAUUAUUGGGCGUAAAGAGCUCGUAGGCGGUCUGUCGCGUCUGCUGUGAAAACCCGAGGCUCAACCUCGGGCCUGCAGUGGGUACGGGCAGACUAGAGUGCGGUAGGGGAGAAUGGAAUUCCUGGUGUAGCGGUGGAAUGCGCAGAUAUCAGGAGGAACACCGAUGGCGAAGGCAGUUCUCUGGGCCGUAACUGACGCUGAGGAGCGAAAGCGUGGGGAGCGAACAGGAUUAGGUACCCUGGUAGUCCACGCCGUAAACGUUGGGCGCUAGAUGUGGGGACCAUUCCACGGUUUCCGUGUCGCAGCUAACGCAUUAAGCGCCCCGCCUGGGGAGUACGGCCGCAAGGCUAAAA
rnacentral:rRNA from 1 species